rnacentral:rRNA from 1 species
CAGUCGCCGCGGGAAAACGUAGGUGGCAAGCGUUGUCCGGAAUUAUUGGGCGUAAAGGGCUCGCAGGCGGUUUCUUAAGUCUGAUGUGAAAGCCCCCGGCUCAACCGGGGAGGGUCAUUGGAAACUGGGAAACUUGAGUGCAGAAGAGGAGAGUGGAAUUCCACGUGUAGCGGUGAAAUGCGUAGAGAUGUGGAGGAACACCAGUGGCGAAGGCGACUCUCUGGUCUGUAACUGACGCUGAGGAGCGAAAGCGUGGGGAGCGUACAGGAUUAGAUACCCCAGUAGUCCCUGUCUCUUAUAC